GGAAGGGGACCGGGAAGCCUGUUUCUUUUUCCAGAUGGAGAGCAGGAGAUCCAGAAAAAGUCAAGAUGGCAAGCCUGAAACCGUAGGGAAUAACUAACACCUGGUACCUGUCCAAGGUUCUCCAGCUCACAGCCCUGGAUAUAAAGGCUUACAAUAAUCAAGUGCUUCAGAACUACUCAACACUCCUGCGAGCAAGAGCACUCUAUUUGGGCAAAUAAUAAACCCAGAAUCUGCUUAUCAGCUCUCCUAAUAGAAAUGACAACCAGCGAGGCAAAAUGCCUCUCGAUUCUCAGGAUAACACAACCAGCUCACAGGGUCUCCAGUUAUUACUGAUGGAAUCCUCCCAGCUAUUACGCCUUGGAAGAAUAUUAAUGCAUGCAGCCAGCAAAGACAGAUCUAAAGGACAGGGAAGGAAGGGCUGUGGCCCCGCACAAUGCCGCUGGUAUUCAAAUUGUGCUCUCCUGAGCUGUGUCUAAUAUCAGCACCAUUUUUAAAAAAAGAGACAUAUCAAUUGCAGCCGAGGUUUUUAUUCUACUUUCCCAUUCUUCACUGCCUGGAUGAGGGGGAAGGGGGGGAAGGAAAAAAGAAUCACCCGUUACAUUACUUUUUAAUUUAAUGCCCUUGAGUAAGGGCACUCGCAGCGCGGCAUGAUGGAGACUUCGGGAAGAGCGGUUGCAUCAUUUUCUCCAGCGAGCGAGGGAAUACUCAACUGUCAUCCUACCUUCUCAGGAGGCUGAGGCUCAAAGGCCACUUGAGAGCAUGGAUUCUAGAUCAACCUGGGCAAGAUCUGUCUCAAUAACUGCCUGCAGUAGCUUUCAGCUACUCCUUAGCACCACGCCUGUCUGCUUCCCGCCAUGAUGAUAAUGGACUAACCCUCUGGCUAAGCAGCUUCAUUAUAGGGGAAGAACUGACAGGAAGUGGAGAUUUAGCAGACCACGUACAAAGAAAAGGCCGUGACUUCUUCCCUACAAUUUUAUGGAGUGGACAGAGGCAGGCCUGCAGGAAGGGUGGGAAACUCUUGUGUCCCAGGCAGAAUCCAGCCAGAAUUCCCCUCCUGGGAAGCCUAAGGAGGAGCCCUGGAAUGUGUCCCGAGGGGCUCUAAGCCCAGCCUCUGCUGACUUCUGACUAAAGAAGCAGAAAAGUACCGGCUUGGGUGUCUGGUAGCAGCCUGCGCCUCCUCCACCCUGCCGGCCCACCUCCCACAAGCUCAGCCAGAAAGGUUUGCCUGUGAGAAAAUCCACGGUACUCAUGAGGCCCCUAGGUAAGGAAGGGGGUGACUCCAGGUGGCUUUGUGGGAACACAAGUAUAGUGAUUGCAAGUACUCAGCCUUUAGCUUGGUGUGGCCUGUAGAUACUCUGGUCAACACUGGUGCACAAAAACUAUGUGUGGGUUAGUGUUAGUUAUCAAUUUGAUAAGAUCUAGACUUAGCUGGGGGAUGGACCUCUGAGCAUGCCUGGAUGGGUAUUCGUGCUAGCCACAGUAGUUAGGUUUUACCACCACAGUCAACCUACUGUGGCUAGCACGAUUCUGUGGCAGGGAAUCCUGGACUGUAUAGGGUGGAGAAAGGUUACUGAGCACUACCAAGCUUGAAUUCACCACUCUCUGCUACUUAGCUACCAAUGCAAUGUGACCAGCUCCCUCAGGCUCGGCCAUUGUGACCUCCCCACCAUGAUGGGCUGUGGACCUGGAACUGUGAGCUGAAUUAACGCUUUCUCCCUGAUGUGGCUUCUGUCAGAGUAUUUUAUCACAUCCAGACAAAGUGCCUUUAACACAAUGUGCACACCUGAGCACUCACUUCUCAUUCGGUCAUGAACUUAGUCAUUACGCAGGGGAGAUUUCUCCAGCCACACCCAGCCAUGCAAGUGGAAGUAGGGAGCGGAGAGCCCAUCCUGGCUGGCACUGUAAUCUUCUGGAUGCGUUCAAGGACCAAAGUUUCGGGUGUGUGGGCCACUGAUUAUAACCAAGAACCCUGGAACCCAAGCAGUGUGUGACAGAAAAGUGGUGAGGACGUGUCAGAAAAACUAUACCAUGUACCACACGGCCAACAUGGACAUCAAAGCGCGAGCGCGCGCGUGCACACACACACACACACACACACACACACACACACACACACACACACACACAGUGCUGCUGUGACCAGGCAUUUCUGGUCUGUAAGCCGCUCUCGGGGCCGGGGCUAGGGAAACCUCCCCACACUCUCAACCAAUUUCACAGCCUUUAACCUCUAGUAGGUCCAGGGGGGCAUGGUGUUGUGUGGCCUUCUGUCUAGGGGGGCUUUCUCAUCCCCGCCUCCUCUAUUUUUACACAUCUGACCAUUGGAGAAGGGUACUGAGAUCCAGAUAUGGGUCCUAAUCAACCCUGCCCAGGUUGCAGAGAUCCAUCAAGCAUGUUCCCUAGGUCUGGCAUGGCUGAUGCUAAUUCACAUGUUGAAUAUGCUGUUUGGGAGCUACGGAACAUUGAGCACAUUCAUGCCACACUUUCCGUAUGUGCAGGGAUACGGAUUUUUGUUUUGUUUUGCUUUUGAGAUUGGGUUUCUCUAUGUAACCACCCUGGAACUUGCUCCGUAGACCAGGCUGGCCUUGAACUCCGAGAUCCACCUGCCUCUGCCUCCCUGGUGCUGGGAUUAAGGGGGUGCCCCACCACUACCUCGCUGUGCAGGGUUAUGGAAACCAACCAUGGACACUGUCCUUCCCUGUCCUGUCCUUCCAUCUGCUUCAGGGGAAAGAUUCAGAAUCACACACUCUCUGAAGGUGUAACCCAGGGGCUUCUUCCCAGGAGGGCUGAGAGUACAAAUGACACCUGAAGCCACGCCCUGCAGCUCCAGCUUCCGGAAGACUUCAGACGCAGAACUGCUGUCGGCACCGCCUCCGUGUCAAACAUCUCCUCUCCUCUCCAUAAGAAGCACCUGGCAUAGAAACCGUGAAAGAGGGAUGGCCUUUGAGCCAGACAUCCAACUCCUUUGAACCUCAGUGCUCCCUGUUGGGGCCGUGGAGCAGAGGGGUCUCCGUACUCCAGAGCCAGGGUCCUGUGGUUCAAAAGCCUCCACUCAACUGAUUUAGUGAGCUUCAUAUGAAUGAGAUGAAAGGUUACUCAGAAGCAUCAGCUUUCCAGCGGCACUCUGGGCUGGUCACUGUGUGAACGGCUACUGGAAACUGGUAGGUGUGUCUUUAGCAGAUGUGAUGGCUAACACUGACUGUCGACUUGACAGACUCUGAGAUCAGAAGACAAACCUCUGGGUACAUCUAUCAGGGUGUUUUCUCUACUGGCUUAACUGAAGUGGGAAGACGUACACUAAAUGUGGGUGGUCCUGGAUGGCGUAAAACGGAGCAAGCCAGUGACUGUGCCAGGCUUUUUCUUUGGGGCCACCAAUCAACACCCAAAUUAUGACACAGGGACUUGUUAGUUGUGAAUGCUCAGCCUUAUCUUAGCUUUUAUAAAAUCUGUUUCCCUUUAUCCACAUUUUGCCUCAGGGAUUUUCUUUCU